GAUGAACGCUGGCGGCGUGCCUAAUACAUGCAAGUCGAGCGAACGGACGAGAAGCUUGCUUCUCUGAUGUUAGCGGCGGACGGGUGAGUAACACGUGGAUAACCUACCUAUAAGACUGGGAUAACUUCGGGAAACCGGAGCUAAUACCGGAUAAUAUUUUGAACCGCAUGGUUCAAAAGUGAAAGACGGUCUUGCUGUCACUUAUAGAUGGAUCCGCGCUGCAUUAGCUAGUUGGUAAGGUAACGGCUUACCAAGGCAUCGAUGCAUAGCCGACCUGAGAGGGUGAUCGGCCACACUGGAAGUGAGACAAGGACCAGACUCCUACGGGAGGCAGCAGGAGGGAAUCUUCCGCAAUGGGCGAAAGGCUGACGGAGCAACGCAGCGUGAGUGAUGAAGGUCUUCGGAUCGUAAAACUCUGAUAUUAGGGAAGAACAUAUGUGUAAGUAACUGUGAACAUAAUGACGGUACCUAAUCAGAAAGCCACGGCUAACUACGUG
rnacentral:rRNA from 1 species